rnacentral:rRNA from 1 species
GACGAACGCUGGCGGCGUGCUUAACACAUGCAAGUCGAACGCUGAAGCUCAGCUUUUGUUGGGUGGAUGAGUGGCGAACGGGUGAGUAACACGUGAGUAACCUGCCUCCUUCUUUGGGAUAACGCCCGGAAACGGGUGCUAAUACUGGAUAUUCACUGGUCUUCGCAUGGGGGUUGGUGGAAAGGGUUUUUCUGGUGGGGGAUGGGCUCGCGGCCUAUCAGCUUGUUGGUGGGGUGAUGGCCUACCAAGGCUUUGACGGGUAGCCGGCCUGAGAGGGCGACCGGGCACAGUGGGACUGAGAUACGGCCCAGACUCCGACGGGGGGCAGCAGUGGGGAAUAUUGCACAAUGGGCGCAAGCCUGAUGCAGCGACGCCGCGUGAGGGAUGGAGGCCUUCGGGUUGUGAACCUCUUUCGCUCAUGGUCAAGCCGCAACAAUGGUUGUGGUGAGGGUAGUGGGUAAAGAAGCGCCGGCUAACUACGUG